rnacentral:rRNA from 1 species
UACGUAGGUGGCGAGCGUUGUCCGGAAUUAUUGGGCGUAAAGGGAGCGCAGGCGGGAAGGUAAGUCUAUCUUAAAAGUGCGGGGCUCAACCCCGUGAGGGGAUAGAAACUAUCAUUCUUGAGUGCAGGAGAGGAAAGCGGAAUUCCUAGUGUAGCGGUGAAAUGCGUAGAUAUUAGGAGGAACACCAGUGGCGAAGGCGGCUUUCUGGACUGUAACUGACGCUGAGGCUCGAAAGCCAGGGGAGCGAACGGGAUUAGAUACCCCGGUAGUCCUGGCCGUAAACGAUGAAUGCUAGGUGUAGGAGGUAUCGACCCCUCCUGUGCCGGAGUUAACGCAAUAAGCAUUCCGCCUGGGGAGUACGGCCGCAAGGCUGAA